UCUUUCUUUGCUGGCGACCGGCGCGCGGGUGAGUAACACGUAUCCAACCUGCCCUUUACUCGGGGAUAGCCUUUCGAAAGAAAGAUUAAUACCCGAUAGCAUAAUGAUUCCGCAUGGUUUCAUUAUUAAAGGAUUCCGGUAAAGGAUGGGGAUGCGUUCCAUUAGGUUGUUGGUGGGGUAACGGCCCACCAAGCCUUCGAUGGAUAGGGGUUCUGAGAGGAAGGUCCCCCACAUUGGAACUGAGACACGGUCCAA
rnacentral:rRNA from 1 species